UACAGAGGUCUCAAGCGUUGUUCGGAUUCAUUGGGCGUAAAGGGUGCGUAGGCGGCGUGGUAAGUCGGGUGUGAAAUCUCGGAGCUUAACUCCGAAACUGCAUUCGAUACUGCCGUGCUUGAGGACUGGAGAGGAGACUGGAAUUUACGGUGUAGCGGUGAAAUGCGUAGAUAUCGGGAGGAACACCUGCGGUGUAGACGGCUUACUGGACCAUAACUGACGCUGAGACACGAAAGCGUGGGUAGCAAACAGG
rnacentral:rRNA from 1 species